rnacentral:rRNA from 1 species
UACGAAGGAGGCGAGCGUUGUCCGGAAUUACUGGGCGUAAAGAGCGCGUAGGCGGCACGGUACGACCGGUGUGAAAGCCCCCGGCUCAACUGGGGAGGGUCACCGGUAACGGCCGAGCUAUGAGUGCAGGAGAGGGAAGUGGAACUCCGGGAGUAGCGGUGAAUGCGUAGAGACCCGGAGGAACACCAGUGGCGAAGGCGGCUUCCUGGUCUGCAACUGACGCUGUGGCGCGAAAGCUAGGGGAGCAAACGGG